rnacentral:rRNA from 1 species
GGUGGAUACCUUGAUAUUUAUUAAUUUAUAUGGACGUUAUUUAUUUACGAAAAUAUUUAUUGAAUUUUAUAUUAUGAAAUAAAUGUUUCCAAUGAGAAAACUUUUUCUGAAUGAAAUUAAGUUAAAAAUUAGUGAAUUGAAACAUCUUAGUAACUAAGUAAAAAAAUCAAACGAGAGUCUGUGAGUAGUGGCGAACGAAAAUGGAUAAGGGUUUAAAUUAAACAAUUAUUAAAAUUUAUAAAUUAACAUAGAUGGUUUAUAAUUCCAGUAUAAGUUUAAUUUUGUUUAAUUUUAGAGUAAAACGAAAUAGGUGUAAUUUUGUUUGAAGAUAAGGGAACCAUCCUUUAAGCCUAAAUAAAAUAAAUAAUCGAUAGUGAACAAGUACUGUGAAGGAAAGGUGAAAUAGAAUUUACGAAAUUGAAAUAGAACUUGAAAUCUAAUGCUUUUAGCAAUUGGAGCUUUAAUUGAAAAGUGACAAUGUACCUUUUGUAUAAUGGACCAGUAAGUUUAUUUAUAUAGCAAGUUUAAAUUGUUAAAUGGAAACGUAGUGAAAGCGAAUUUGAAAAGAAUUAUUUUUAGUUAUAUAAAUAAGACCCGAAACCAAGUGAUCUAAUUAUGAACAAGUUGAAAAAAUAUUAAAUUAUUUUUGAGGACUGAACCCGUGUCUGUUGCAUAAGAUUGGGAUGAUUUGUGAUUAGGGGUGAAAGGCUAAUCAAACUUGGAGAUAGCUGGUUUUCUGUGAAAUCUAUUUACGUAAAGUAUUAAAAUUAUUUUUUUGGGGUAGAGAUAUCGAUAAAAGAGGGUUGCCUAUAAAGCUUUACUAAUUUUAAGGAAACUUCGAAUACGAAAAAAUAUUUUAAUAAACGGACUUAUAAUGCUAAGGUUGUAAGUCGAGAGGGAAACAGCCCAGAUUGUUUAUUAAGGUCUUUAAAUUUUUUCUUAUAAAAAAUAAGAUAUUAAAUGAAUAUAACUAAGAGUUAGGUUCAGAAGCAGCCAUUCUUUAAAGAAAGCGUAAAAGCUCAUUAGUUUAAUUUAGUAUUUUUUACGAUGUAUAGAGAUUUAAAAGAAAAAUACCGAAAUAGCAAAUUAAAUUUUAUUUUAAAAAUUUAAUAGUAACAGAACGUUCUGUAUGCAAAAAGAUAAAUUGAAAAAUUUAUUAAUGUAUCAGAAGUGAUAAUACUGGUAUGAGUAAUAUAAAUAAUAUUAAAUAGGUAAUUAAAUAUUAUCGUCGAAAAUUUAAGGUUUUUAAUUUAUAAUUGUUAAACAAAAUUAAGUAAUACGGUUUCUAAAAAUUUAAGUGAAAACUUAGUUUGAUGAAUAUUAUAUUCAGAAACUUUUAAAUUUAUAGUUAAUACAAAAUUAUAUUUAAAAUUCAAAAUAUCUGGAUUAGAAAACCGUACUUAAAACCAACAAUGGUAAAUGGGUAGAGUAUACUAAGACGAAAAAGUGAAUCAUAGUGAAGGAACUCGGCAAAUUAACCUUGUAACUUCGGAAUAAAAGGUUUUUAUUAAGUGUAUUUUAAUUAAUAAAAAAAUAGAAAAGGGGGUAGCGACUGUUUAAUAAAAACACAGGACUUUGCAAAAUUGUAAAAUGAUGUAUAAGGUCUGACACCUGCCAGGAACUGUGUAGUUAAAAUUGGAGAGAAUUUAUUUUCAAUCUAAGCAGCAGUAAUCGGCGGCCAUAACUCUGAUGGUCCUAAGGUAGCGAAAUUCCUUGUCAACUAAUUAUUGACGUGCAUGAAUGGUGUAACGACUUCCCCACUGUCUCCACUAUGAGCUUUGUGAAAUUGAAAUAUUUGUGAAGAUGCGAAUUAUAUAUGGUUAGACGGAAAGACCCCGUGCACCUUUACUACAUUUUUUAAUUGAUUAUUUUUAUAAAAGUGUGUAGCAUAAGUGGGA